GAUCUGUUGCUUGUACGGUUGAGUAUAUAUUUAAGACUCGAGCUGAGUCCCAUCAUGCCGCUUCUGAAGAAAAUAAUUCAUUUUUGAAUUAUGAAAAUCAGGCCGAUUCUUUUUUUUAUGAUGAUAUGGCUUCAAAAUUUCAGUACCAGCAUUUACACGCAAUAUUUCCCGAUGUGGACCAAUCGCUACUGUUGGAUUUGUUCUCUGAUAA